AAAACUCCUAGGGUCUUUCUCCUUCUUAGCAAGUUUAUUCUCGAAAAUAAAGUUGCAUUCCAAGGGUUUAGGAUCGUCAAGCCUGCGCUUGUUGGUUAAGAUGUCUUUGAGAAAUUUGGCGUAAGAUGGAAUUUGGGUGAUGGCUUCGGUGAAAGGAAUCUAUACAUGAAGCUUCUCUAUUACAUUUAUAAACUUUUGGUAUUGGUUAUCAAUUUGGGUUUGUCUAAGUCUUUGCGGAUAUGGGAUUGGUGGU
rnacentral:lncRNA from 1 species